UUAAAAUCUACAGAAGUUUUUGUGGCAUUCCUUGGAAAGAAAUGGUUUACUUUCACUGAACCCUCAGUUGAAAAGCAGAAAGAAGAGGGACUGUUCAAUGCGAGAGCCUUAGUAGAGAAAUUGAUUGCCAAUUUGGAUGAACAGGCUAGCAAUAUCUAAUACAUCACUAUGUAAUUGUAAUUCAUUAUUAUUGGUUGAUAAUUUUAAUUCCUAACUGUGGUAAGAUCUGCAGAAUGAGAGAAAGGUCACUCUUUUUAUUGAUUUACAACAUUUACGCGAAGAAUCGAGGAGAAAGAAGGUGCUGCACUAAUAAACAGUAUUCCCUGAACUGUUAAGUAUUCCCUCUGAGGAUUUGUACCACGUACGAGCCACUGGGGAAACUGUAUUCGGCAAAGAAGGAACUAGCAGCACAACUGAGAGCAACACUGUCAAUAAAGCGGCAGAUCGAUGAGUGAUGACAUUCCAAGCCAGUCUCAGCGCAUCCGGUAAGGCAUCAUCAAACCUGCAAAUAUUAUGCAACCUAUAAUGCUCUUUUGGAGAUUAAGGAACUGACGCUAAAGGAAACCUCCUUGUUGAUCUCAAUAAGUUCACUGAUUCAAGAUGCCAUUACAAGUACUGAUGAUCAUAUGAAGCUGAUUGGUUCCAUGGAAGGGAUUGUAAAGGGCAAUCAGCAGAUAAUUGUGAUCUUCUCUCAUAACUUGAGAGAAAUAUUAUCGUAUACAUUGUCAUAUGAAAGAUUUCCAAGACGCUGCAAAAGGUGCAAGUGGGGCUUCAGGAAGAGCAGAAGGCUUGUGAUGCUCUUAAGAAGAGGUAUGCUGCAGCAUUGGCAGAGCAAAGGCUCUGCUAUUCUCUGUUAAAGCCUUUUAGGUAAUCCUUGUUUUGAUUAUUCCAUAAAGGAUUUAGUAGGAUUACUCCCAACAGAAAAUAGUGUAGUACUUAGUCAAAUAUUUCAAAAUAAAGUGCGCCUAUGCCACUGAAAACCACUGCUACAUGUCCUGAGGGGUUGUUCUAGUUUAGCUGGUGUUUACACCAUGUGAUGUAAACAAAACAAAGGAAUUUCAUUGUGGUGAUUCGUCACUGGUGUUUACAUCAUAUGCAGUGUUAUUCAACAUUGGGUUCAAUUCAACCUUGUUUAUGCAUGAAUAUUAUUGGAGAAGUUAAUUAUCAGUGAUGAAUCAUGUUGGUAGUGCAGAAAUGCUUUGUGUAUUUCAUUAGAGAACAUCAGAAAUCAUGUAUAUAUAUGUAGCAAGGAGUAGAAAUUGUUUUGUAUUCAA